GGAGGGCCUUCCUCACUCAGUUUGGCUGUGGUGUAACGGGCGCUCGACCCAUCACAACCUCCUUGAGUGAGUGAGGCCUCGC
rfam:Ixodes scapularis strain Wikel colony gcontig_1108378889144, whole genome shotgun sequence.